rnacentral:rRNA from 1 species
GGUUAAGCGACUAAGCGUACACGGUGGAUGCCCUGGCAGUCAGAGGCGAUGAAGGACGUGCUAAUCUGCGAUAAGCGUCGGUAAGGUGAUAUGAACCGUUAUAACCGGCGAUUUCCGAAUGGGGAAACCCAGUGUGUUUCGACACACUAUCAUUAACUGAAUCCAUAGGUUAAUGAGGCGAACCGGGGGAACUGAAACAUCUAAGUACCCCGAGGAAAAGAAAUCAACCGAGAUUCCCCCAGUAGCGGCGAGCGAACGGGGAGCAGCCCAGAGCCUGAAUCAGUGUGUGUGUUAGUGGAAGCGUCUGGAAAGGCGCGCGAUACAGGGUGACAGCCCCGUACACAAAAAUGCACAUAUUGUGAGCUCGAUGAGUAGGGCGGGACACGUGGUAUCCUGUCUGAAUAUGGGGGGACCAUCCUCCAAGGCUAAAUACUCCUGACUGACCGAUAGUGAACCAGUACCGUGAGGGAAAGGCGAAAAGAACCCCGGCGAGGGGAGUGAAAAAGAACCUGAAACCGUGUACGUACAAGCAGUGGGAGCCUCUUUUAUGGGGUGACUGCGUACCUUUUGUAUAAUGGGUCAGCGACUUAUAUUCUGUAGCAAGGUUAACCGAAUAGGGGAGCCGAAGGGAAACCGAGUCUUAACUGGGCGUUAAGUUGCAGGGUAUAGACCCGAAACCCGGUGAUCUAGCCAUGGGCAGGUUGAAGGUUGGGUAACACUAACUGGAGGACCGAACCGACUAAUGUUGAAAAAUUAGCGGAUGACUUGUGGCUGGGGGUGAAAGGCCAAUCAAACCGGGAGAUAGCUGGUUCUCCCCGAAAGCUAUUUAGGUAGCGCCUCGUGAAUUCAUCUCCGGGGGUAGAGCACUGUUUCGGCAAGGGGGUCAUCCCGACUUACCAACCCGAUGCAAACUGCGAAUACCGGAGAAUGUUAUCACGGGAGACACACGGCGGGUGCUAACGUCCGUCGUGAAGAGGGAAACAACCCAGACCGCCAGCUAAGGUCCCAAAGUCAUGGUUAAGUGGGAAACGAUGUGGGAAGGCCCAGACAGCCAGGAUGUUGGCUUAGAAGCAGCCAUCAUUUAAAGAAAGCGUAAUAGCUCACUGGUCGAGUCGGCCUGCGCGGAAGAUGUAACGGGGCUAAACCAUGCACCGAAGCUGCGGCAGCGACACUAUGUGUUGUUGGGUAGGGGAGCGUUCUGUAAGCCUGUGAAGGUGUGCUGUGAGGCAUGCUGGAGGUAUCAGAAGUGCGAAUGCUGACAUAAGUAACGAUAAAGCGGGUGAAAAGCCCGCUCGCCGGAAGACCAAGGGUUCCUGUCCAACGUUAAUCGGGGCAGGGUGAGUCGACCCCUAAGGCGAGGCCGAAAGGCGUAGUCGAUGGGAAACAGGUUAAUAUUCCUGUACUUGGUGUUACUGCGAAGGGGGGACGGAGAAGGCUAUGUUGGCCGGGCGACGGUUGUCCCGGUUUAAGCGUGUAGGCUGGUUUUCCAGGCNNNNNNNNNNNNNNNNNNNNNNNNNNNNNNNNNNNNNNNNNNNNNNNNNNNNNNNNNNNNNNNNNNNNNNNNNNNNNNNNNNNNNNNNNNNGGAAAAGUCAAGGCUGAGGCGUGAUGACGAGGCACUACGGUGCUGAAGCAACAAAUGCCCUGCUUCCAGGAAAAGCCUCUAAGCAUCAGGUAACAUCAAAUCGUACCCCAAACCGACACAGGUGGUCAGGUAGAGAAUACCAAGGCGCUUGAGAGAACUCGGGUGAAGGAACUAGGCAAAAUGGUGCCGUAACUUCGGGAGAAGGCACGCUGAUAUGUAGGUGAAGCGACUUGCUCGUGGAGCUGAAAUCAGUCGAAGAUACCAGCUGGCUGCAACUGUUUAUUAAAAACACAGCACUGUGCAAACACGAAAGUGGACGUAUACGGUGUGACGCCUGCCCGGUGCCGGAAGGUUAAUUGAUGGGGUUAGCGCAAGCGAAGCUCUUGAUCGAAGCCCCGGUAAACGGCGGCCGUAACUAUAACGGUCCUAAGGUAGCGAAAUUCCUUGUCGGGUAAGUUCCGACCUGCACGAAUGGCGUAAUGAUGGCCAGGCUGUCUCCACCCGAGACUCAGUGAAAUUGAACUCGCUGUGAAGAUGCAGUGUACCCGCGGCAAGACGGAAAGACCCCGUGAACCUUUACUAUAGCUUGACACUGAACAUUGAGCCUUGAUGUGUAGGAUAGGUGGGAGGCUUUGAAGUGUGGACGCCAGUCUGCAUGGAGCCGACCUUGAAAUACCACCCUUUAAUGUUUGAUGUUCUAACGUUGACCCGUGAUCCGGGUUGCGGACAGUGUCUGGUGGGUAGUUUGACUGGGGCGGUCUCCUCCUAAAGAGUAACGGAGGAGCACGAAGGUUGGCUAAUCCUGGUCGGACAUCAGGAGGUUAGUGCAAUGGCAUAAGCCAGCUUGACUGCGAGCGUGACGGCGCGAGCAGGUGCGAAAGCAGGUCAUAGUGAUCCGGUGGUUCUGAAUGGAAGGGCCAUCGCUCAACGGAUAAAAGGUACUCCGGGGAUAACAGGCUGAUACCGCCCAAGAGUUCAUAUCGACGGCGGUGUUUGGCACCUCGAUGUCGGCUCAUCACAUCCUGGGGCUGAAGUAGGUCCCAAGGGUAUGGCUGUUCGCCAUUUAAAGUGGUACGCGAGCUGGGUUUAGAACGUCGUGAGACAGUUCGGUCCCUAUCUGCCGUGGGCGCUGGAGAACUGAGGGGGGCUGCUCCUAGUACGAGAGGACCGGAGUGGACGCAUCACUGGUGUUCGGGUUGUCAUGCCAAUGGCACUGCCCGGUAGCUAAAUGCGGAAGAGAUAAGUGCUGAAAGCAUCUAAGCACGAAACUUGCCCCGAGAUGAGUUCUCCCUGACCCUUUAAGGGUCCUGAAGGAACGUUGAAGACGACGACGUUGAUAGGCCGGGUGUGUAAGCGCAGCGAUGCGUUGAGCUAACCGGUACUAAUGAACCGUGAGGCUUAACCUU